UCUCCCCUAGAGCAAAGACUGUUAUCACCUUCUCACAGUUCUCAGCACACGGUGGGGAGUCACUCUGGGACCUUAUUUCAGACAUGUCAGAUUCCUCGUCCAUCAAACCCUUGAUGUCUCGGUUGCUGACUCCAGGCUGUCUCUCCAGUCUUGAAGGACCCAAAAAGGGAGAAAAAUGGUUCCCAGAGCGUUUGGCUUGGAAGCUAUUGUUUGCAGAACUAUCUACAAAAGGAAAUGGCAACACACUCCAGUAUUCUUGCCUGGAGAAUUCCAUGGACAGAGGAGCCUGGCAGGCUACAGUCCACGCGGUCGCAAAGAGUCAGACACGACUGAGCGACACUAUCACUCAUUCAGUAUUCUGAUUCACUUAGAAACCAGACAUCUAUUGGGUCUAAUGAAUAAUUAUCAAAUCAUUUUAAAAGCAAACAGAAUUAGCAAGAUGUUUUGUGACCUUUAUUCAACAAACAAUUAUUUUCCCAUUAUUCUGAAUUCUCAUGAACGAUACAUGAAUGAUGGAACUUAUGGGAAAAUUUUUAAAAAACAAUCAAACAAACAAAAAGCCAAAACCUGACAUCCUGUAUUAGCCAACUGUGAGAACAAAGUGUAGCAGAUUAUAAGAAGAAUCUAAUUCAAGUUUGGAGGUAAGACCCUCCAAAGUGUUCUGGUGGUAUGUUAAUAAAAUGUUUUAGCUGUUACAUAGGUGUUGAUAGCAAUCUUUAAAUGUUCUGGGUGGAGCAUUUCAUUACAAAGCAUGCUCAAGGAAGAUUAAGAAUGGAUCAUCAGGGAACAAAGUCACACAGAGAAAAACAAAUGAUAUUGUUUAUACGUGGAAUCUAAAAAAAUGAUAGACGUGAACUUAUUUGCAACACGGAAAUGGAGUCACAGAUGUAGAAAACAGACUUAUGGUUACCAGAGGGGAAAGGAGUGGGGAGGGAUAAGCUGGAAGAUUGAGAUUGACAUAUACACAUUAUUGUAUGUAAACUACCUAAUAAAGAUCUACCAUUUAGCACAGAGAACUUUUCUCAAUACGCUAUAAUGACCUAUAUGGGAAAGACAUCCAAAUGAGAGGAUAUAUGCAUGUGUAUACCUGAUUCACUUUGCUGUACCACAGAAACUAAUAAUUUUUAGACUAAUUAUA